rnacentral:pre_miRNA from 1 species
CUGACAGAAGAGAGUGAGCACACAGCGGGCAGACUGCAUCGAUCGAUCUGCAUCCGAGACGGCGCACGUACGAAUGAUGAUGCAGCUGCUGCUGCGUGCUCACUUCUCUCUCUGUCAG